UCGAUGGUGAUUUCUGGUGGAUUCAGCUGGCUUCCUCCGUAGGCUAUCCAGGUUGUGACUGAAGGCCUUGUUUUGAGGGUGUUUUGCAGAACAGUUGGCCUGGUGAUUUUCAAGAAGAACUGUAGACUGCCCCCUAACAUACACACCAUAUAUCUCAACCCUCAUACACACGGUACGGAGAGUCUUGCUAUACGGGAUGAACCUGACACGGCGGCCAAUGAUUGGUGGAGUUACCUCCCUCAUCUCCGUCAGCAAGAACUGCUCUGUGUACUCCUGACCCUGCAAGAACAAUGGCACAGUUAUUAUCUUCUAAAAGCAAUUACUUCAGGUUUAUCAAUUUCUAUGAUCAUGAUCAUCAAGAUGCUUGUACAGCCUCCAGAUGACACUUGAGCAGAAAACCAAUCCAUCACAAGCUGUCAACCAGUCUGCUGAUAAGCAUUUCAUGGAAAUGCCAAUAUGUCAUCACUCAUAUUCUGCGGAUAAUUACCUCCCUUAAUGGAUUUUAAAAUUCAUUAUUGAGGUAAUAAGAAUGAGCAAAAACCAGCCAUUGUUUUUGCAUUGACCAUGUGUUUCAAUUAUCUUUUAAUUGGUUUAUUUGAUGAACCAUAUUUGUAGACUUUGGUUUACACACUCAGAGUUCACAAAAAAGGUAAAUAGGAAAAUAAUUUGGAGAUUUCAUCAAUUAGCAAAAAUGUACUGACAUCUAUGACCAUACAAAAUUAUUGUUCAAUGUCAUAAAGUGUAGAGAAAAGCCGUUGACAGAAGCCUUAAACUUAAUCUGAUUUUUUUUCUCUUACCACUGGCACUCAUUUAAGGCUUAUCCACAUAUUCUUAUCUUAGUGUUUACUGAGUAGAUAUGUAAUUUGCAGCAUGAUCAGGAAGAUGAACAUUUUACCAUUCAUGGAAAUUUUAAGCAAUGACACAAUGACCAUGGGCAUUGUAAGUGUGUUCAGUAUUCUGUUAACGAAAUGGAAAUGAAUGUGUUUAAAAAGCUGAUUUUCCUCAACCACCUCAGGAUGAAAGGACCAUGAACAAACAUUUGAGUCUAGUUCUGAGAAAACCAGGCUAAAUGCAUGUGCGUAAAGUGUCAUCCCAGAUUAGUCUGUGCAGUCUGGAAAGACACUUUACGCUUGCAUGGAUUUAUAAAAAGGAAGUCUCUUCAUUCAUCUAGGACAAAACCUUUAUGCACAUGCAUGAAGCGGCAUAUUGAAACUGAAGCCAAGUUAUCUUGCAUUUCAUUAUAUCACGCUCAGAUUGGUGGGUAUUGGAUGGGGGUGUAUUGUAAGUAUGAAAAUGUGGCUAUAAGAGAUCAUAUGUGAUUAUAUGUGCACAUGUCUCGGGAAGUCAGAGGAGUCAAAGAUGGCCCCUGAUAUUCUGGCAUAGAUCAAUCACUGACGGACUGUAUCAGGUGAGAUAUCCAUCACAUUUGAUGCGCACAAUCACAAACUACUGUUUUCAUUUCACCUUUCAACGCUUGCCAUCUAUAACAUCAAACACACUGUAUCGAAAGCUGUCAAAAUAAACUUAUAUACACAUUUCUUGUAGAUUGGACAAAGGGAAAAAUGAUCAAUUACCUUUGUUUUUCAUUCUUAACUUAACAACUUUGCAAACAUGGUCAUUUUGGUCACUUGCGAUGGAAAAGAAUUGUUAAACAAUCUAUUUGAAAAGUGCUUUACAAAUACCAUGCAUUUUGAGCCAUAAAUCAUCUGCCCAGGAUUAUCUGUCAGA